rnacentral:rRNA from 1 species
GACGAACGCUGGCGGCGUGCCUAAUACAUGCAAGUCGUGCGGACCUUUUAAAAGCUUGCUUUUAAAAGGUUAGCGGCGGACGGGUGAGUAACACGUGGGCAACCUGCCUGUAAGACUGGGAUAACGCCGGGAAACCGGGGCUAAUACCAGAUCGUUUUUUCCUCCGCAUGGAGGAAAAAGGAAAGGCGGCUUCGGCUGCCACUUACAGAUGGGCCCGCGGCGCAUUAGCUAGUUGGCGGGGUAACGGCCCACCAAGGCAACGAUGCGUAGCCGACCUGAGAGGGUGAUCGGCCACAUUGGGACUGAGACACGGCCCAAACUCCUACGGGAGGCAGCAGUAGGGAAUCUUCCGCAAUGGACGAAAGUCUGACGGAGCAACGCCGCGUGAGCGAAGAAGGCCUUCGGGUCGUAAAACUCUGUUGCCGGGGAAGAACAAGUGCCGUUCGAACAGGGCGGCGCCUUGACGGUACCCGGCCAGAAAGCCACGGCUAACUACGUG